AACGAACGCUGGCGGCAGGCCUAACACAUGCAAGUCGAACGCCGUAGCAAUACGGAGUGGCAGACGGGUGAGUAACACGUGGGAACAUACCCUUUGGUUCGGAAUAACUCAGGGAAACUUGAGCUAAUACCGGAUAAGCGCUUAGGCGGAAAGAGUUAUCGCCGAAGGAUUGGCCCGCGUCCGAUUAGCUAGUUGGUGAGGUAACGGCUCACCAAGGCGACGAUCGGUAGCUGGUCUGAGAGGAUGAUCAGCCACAUUGGGACUGGGACACGGCCCAAACGCCUACGGGAGGCAGCAGUGGGGAAUAUUGGACAAUGGGCGCAAGCCUGAUCCAGCCAUGCCGCGUGAGUGAUGAAGGCCCUAGGGUUGUAAAGCUCUUUUGUGUGGGAAGAUAAUGACUGUACCACAAGAAUAAGCCCCGGCUAACUUCGUGCCAGCCGCCGCAGUAAGAC
rnacentral:rRNA from 1 species